rnacentral:rRNA from 1 species
GACGAACGCUGGCGGCGUGCCUAAUACAUGCAAGUCGAACGCAGUGGGGACGGGUGAGUAACACGUGGGUAACCUCCCAUCAGAGGGGACAACACUUGGAAACAGGUGCUAAACCGAUACUGUUGGAUGAACCCGCGGUGCAUUAGCUAGUGGGUGGGGUAACGGCUCCCCAAGGCCACGAUGCAUAGCCUACCGGAGAGGGUGAUCGGCCACACUGGGACUGGGACCCGGCCCAGACUCCGACGAGAGGCAGCAGUAGGGAAUCUUCGGCAAUGGACGAAAGUCUGACCGAGCCACGCCGCGUGAGUGAAGAAGGUUUUCGGGUCGUAAAACUCUGUUGUUAGGGAAGCGGUAUCUGAAGAGAAAGCCACGGCUAACUACGUGCCAGCAGCCGCGGUAAUAC